rnacentral:rRNA from 1 species
CCUACGGGAGACAGCAGUGAGGAAUAUUGGUCAAUGGACGAGAGUCUGAACCAGCCAAGUAGCGUGAAGGAUGACUGCCCUAUGGGUUGUAAACUUCUUUUAUAAAGGAAUAAAACGAGGCACGUGUGCCUUUUUGCAUGUACUUUAUGAAUAAGGAUCGGCUAACUCCGUGCCCGCAGCCGCGGUAAUACGGAGGAUUCGAGCGUUAUCCGGAUUUAUUGGGUUUAAAGGGGGCGUAGAUGGGUUGUUAAGUCAGUUGUGAAAGUUUGCGGCUCAACCGUAAAAUUGCAAUUGAUACUGGCAGUCUUGAGUACAGUUGAGGUAGGCGGAAUUCGUGGUGUAGCGGUGAAAUGCUUAGAUAUCACGAAGAACCCCGAUUGCGAAGGCAGCUUACUAAACUGUGACUGACAUUGAUGCUCGAAAGUGUGGGUAUCAAACAGGAUUAGAUACCCCGGUAGUC